rnacentral:rRNA from 1 species
CCUACGGGUGGCAGCAGUGAGGAAUAUUGGUCAAUGGGCGAGAGCCUGAACCAGCCAAGUCGCGUGAGGGAGUACUGCCCUAUGGGUUGUAAACCUCUUUUGUCGGGGAGCAAAAGCCGGACGUGUCCGGCUGUGAGAGUACCCGAAGAAAAAGCAUCGGCAAACUCCGUGCCAGCAGCCGCGGUAAUACGGGGGAUGCGAGCGUUAUCCGGAUUUAUUGGGUUUAAAGGGUGCGCAGGCGGAUUUUAAAGUCAGCGGUAAAAUCGUGGGGUUCAGCCCCAUCCAGUCGUUGAAACUGGGGAUCUAGAGUGUGCGAGAGGUAUGCGGAAUGCGUGGUGUAGCGGUGAAAUGCAUAGAUAUCACGCAGAACCCCGAUUGCGAAGGCAGCAUACCGGUGCACAACUGACGCUCAGGCACGAAAGCGUGGGUAUCGAACAGGAUUAGAUACCCUUGUAGUC